rnacentral:rRNA from 1 species
UACGUAGGGGGCAAGCGUUGUCCGGAUUUAUUGGGCGUAAAGCGCGUGUAGGCGGCCACGCAGGUCCGCUGUGAAAACUCGAGGCUCAACCUCGAGCUGUCGGUGGAAACCGCGUGGCUAGAGUCCGGAAGAGGGGACUGGAAUUCCCGGUGUAGCGGUGGAAUGCGCAGAUAUCGGGAGGAACACCCGUGGCGAAGGCGGGUCCCUGGGUCAAGAUUGACGCUCAUGCACGAAAGCGUGGGGAGCAAACAGGA